GACGAACGCUGGCGGCGUGCUUAACACAUGCAAGUCGAGCGAUGAAGCACCUUCGGGUGUGAAUUAGCGGCGAACGGGUGAGGAACACGUGAGAAAUCUGCCUUCAACACUGGGAUAACUCCGGGAAACCGGGGCUAAUACCGGAUAUGAAACCUGCGGGCAUCCGCGGGUUUGGAAAGUUUUUCGGUUGAAGAUGAUCUCGCGGCCUUGCAGCUUGUUGGUGAGGUAAUGGCUCACCAAGGCGACGACGGGUAGCCGGCCUGAGAGGGCGACCGGCCACACUGGGACUGAGACACGGCCCAGGCUCCUACGGGAGGCAGCAGUGGGGAAUAUUGGGCAAUGGAGGAAACUCUGACCCAGCGACGCCGCGUGCGGGAUGAAGGCCUUCGGGUUGUAAACCGCUUUCAGCAGGGAAGAAGCGAAAGUGACGGUACCUGCAGAAGAAGCACCGGCUAACUAUGUGCCAGCCGCCGCCGUAA
rnacentral:rRNA from 1 species